GCUUUCGGGCUCUGUGGAGUCUAACCCUAAUUUUGUUUUCACGAAACAUGAAACUUUACGGUUUGUCUCUCCCCUUUCGGCCACUUCUGAUUUCUGACCACGAUCGUAACGAUCGAUCGUAACGAUCGAUCGUCUCUCCCCUUCCUCUGUCACCUUCAAUGGUGUUUCAAGAGAUUGUUUGUCUCAGAUCUCUGUCCCCUUCAAUGGUGUUUCAAGAGAUUUUUUGUCUCAGAUCAAUCUGCAGCCGCGUCUCUUUGUCUUUCUACCUACUGAUUAUUAAGUGAUGUUGUCCCAAUCCUUGGAAUAAGCGGAAACCACAUCAGAUGACUGAGCAGGUAGGUCGCUCUUUUUGGAUAUGAUUACACCAAAGAUGUGGGGGCUGGUCAGACAAACUUCUGUUUAUCAUUGAUUCUAUUGAAGCUUGAAGAUUAUCAACCACCAUGCCAUCUUCAAAUGGAGUUACAAAACAGAGACAUAUACUCAGGUAUUGAUUGCUUAAACCUCUUCCUUCUUUUUCAUUAAUUUCUAUUGGCUAAUGAUUUUAUAUUUGUGAGAAGUUAUAUUCUAUUGGAACACUUGGUGUUGCAACUGCGUUAAGAGCUUUGUCUUGCUCCGCGCAACUAUCUGUGCAGUAAUGUCCGACUAGGUAGCAUGUUCUAUUACAGUGCCUCGAGGUUUUCACCAAUCAGAAGAGACCAUUCCACAUCUUGGAACACUUCAUAAGGAUAUGUUCCUAUAUCAACUUCUCUCAACCAAGGGAACAAGGAAUCCUCGAGUUCCAUUGCAGAUAAAGCGAUUAUCUGACCCAAGAAAACAGUUCUAUGCUGUUCAGGACUUACCUUUGAAAAGAAGAAUCUGAUUUUGGAAUUUGCUGAAGUUUCUGGAGUUACAAUCUCGAGAAAAUGGGAGCCAAGAGUUACGCAUGUAAUUGCAUCAACCAACGAAAAUGGAGCCUGCAAAAGGACACUCAAAUUCAUGAUGGGGAUCCUGGAGGGGAAAUGGAUUCUGAGCAUUGAUUGGAUCAAGGCCUGUAUGAAAGACAGAGAAUAUGUAAGCGAGGAGCUAUAUGAGAUUUCCAUUGAUGUACAUGGAACACGACAAGGACCUUUUACUGGAAGACAAAGAGCUUUGAACAAGGAACCAAAACUUUUUAGUGGGCUGAAGUUUUACAAUCGAGAGCUUGGAUUGAUCUCUCUGUUCCAAGAAGUUUCAAAACAAGGUUUGGUCUGUUCCAAAUACUGCAUCAGAAGCAAGCUACAGCCGAGAAACCAAGUUCAUAAGACCAUAUUAUUAGAAAGUAAUCAUAUUCUAUGUAACAGUAUUGGAAAAAGAGUAACUUACUUUGAUCAUUCCUGCAGCACCUCCCUCGCUGUGAUUUGAAAAAGAUAAAAGGGUUCGUGAUUGAUUUGAAAUUGGAGAUAAAGACGAAAUUGGAUUAAUAUUUAUCCCAAAAUGAAACUCUCUUCGUUUUU